rnacentral:rRNA from 1 species
AACGAACGCUGGCGGCAGGCCUAACACAUGCAAGUCGAGCGGACCUUUCGGGGUCAGCGGCGUACGGGUGAGUAACGCGUGGGAAUAUGCCCUUCUCUACGGAAUAGUCCUGGGAAACUGGGGGUAAUACCGUAUACGCCCUUUGGGGGAAAGAUUUAUCGGGGAAGGAUUAGCCCGCGUUGGAUUAGGUUGUUGUUGGGGUAAUGGCCUACCACGCCGACGAUCCAUAGCUGGUUUGAGAGGAUGAUCAGCCACACUGGGACUGAGACACGGCCCAGACUCCUACGGGAGGCAGCAGUGGGGAAUCUUAGACAAGGGGGGCAACCCUGAUCUAGCCAUGACGCGUGAGUGAUGAAGGCAUUAGGGUUGUAAAGCGCUUUCAGCUGGGAAGAUAAUGACGGUACCAGCAGAAGAAGCCCCGGCUAACUCCGUG